CGCGUAGGCGGCUUGGUAAGUCGGAUGUGAAAGCCCCGGGCUUAACCUGGGAACUGCAUUCGAGACUGCCUGGCUAGAGUAUGAUAGAGGGAAGCGGAAUUCCACAUGUAGCGGUGAAAUGCGUAGAUAUGUGGAGGAACAUCAGUGGCGAAGGCGGCUUCCUGGAUCAAUACUGACGCUGAGGCGCGAAAGCGUGGGGAGCAAACAGGAUUAGAUACCCUGGUAGUCCACGCUGUAAACGAUGAGAACUAGAUGUUGGGAGGUUUAACCUCUUAGUGUCGAAGCUAACGCGAUAAGUUCUCCGCCUGGGGAGUACGGCCGCAAGGUUAAA
rnacentral:rRNA from 1 species